CUCUUGUUUGGAAUGUUUGUCAGUUUGAAAAUGGUAGUGUAAUGUGCAAAGAACUGAUAUAAAGAAAAGUUUUAGAGCUCUAUAACGGCUGGACUUUGUCUGAUUUUGGAUCGCAAACCAACAAGGUUCAGGGAUUUUAUGG